rnacentral:lncRNA from 1 species
CAACAGGGAGGAAAUGGUUGAGGAAGUAAGGGUGACUGGGACCCUGGGUGGCAGUGACCAUGCUAUCAUUGAGUUUUGGAUAACAAAAGGAGGAAGAUCUGAGAGGACUCAGACUUCAAGGUUAGAUUUCAGAGGAGCAGAUUUUGAUGGACUCAGAAGGAGGGUAGGAAGGAUCCAUUGGCUGGAUGUCUUAAAGGACAGAAAUGUCCAGGAAGGAUGGGAAAUUUUGAGAAAGGAGAUUCUAGAGGCACAAUCUUUAACAAUUCCUAAAAGAAAAAAGAAUGGCAAGCAUCUAAAGAGACCAGGGUGGAUGAACCCUGAACUUAAUAACUUGCUAAAAAGAAAAAAAGAAAUGUUUAAAAAAUGGAAAGAAGGGGACAUAUCAAAAGAAGAAUAUAAUGCAAUCUGCAGGAACUGCAGGAUAAGUGUCAGAAAGGCUAAAGCUAAAAAUGAAUUGAGGAUUGCAAGAGAGGCCAAAUGCAAUAAAAAAGGCUUUUGGGGGUAUGUCAGAAGCAAAAGAAAAGUCAAAGAAGCUAUAGGACCUUUACAAAAUGAGAAGGGUGAUUUGGUCAAAAACAAUAUUCAGAAGGCAGAACUUCUGAACUCCUAUUUUGCAUCUGUUUUCUCUCAGAAAGGAAAGGAAACAUCAGUUGGCCUUCACUGUGCUGUUGAGGGAAUAAGAGAAUCAAGGCUCUGUAUGGACAAGGAGAAGGUGAGGGAACACUUAGCAAACUUAAAUGUAUUCAAGUCUCCAGGCCCAGAUGAAUUACAUCCUAGGGUGCUNAAGGAAUUAGCUGAUAUAAUAGCUGAACCACUCUCCGUGAUAUUUGAGAACUCAUGGAUAACAGGAGAAGUCCCAGAAGAUUGGAGAAGGGCAAAUGUUGUACCUAUCUUUAAAAAAGGAAAGAAGGCUGACCCAGGCAACUACAGGCCUGUGAGCCUGACUUCAAUACCAGGCAAGAUAUUUGAACAAAUCAUUAAACAGCACAUAUGGGAGCACUUGGAUGGGAAUGCAGUAAUUAACCAAAGCCAACAUGGAUUUGUAACAAACAAGUCAUGCCAGACUAAUCUUAUUUCCUUUUAUGACAAAAUUACUGGAUGGAUCGAUCAAGGAAAGGCUGUGGACAUAGUAUAUCUUGACUUUAGCAAAGCAUUUGACAAGGUGUCUCAUACUAUACUUAUUGAAAAAAUGAUCAAAUAUGGGAUUGACAGGACAACUGUUAGGUG